UAUUGAAAAUCUGGCCGAGAGCCAGAAGAGAGCACAAAAGGGCAAUGCCCGACAAGGAAGAAGCGACGAAGGUGGCUGUAUGCACUUGCAUACUUGGUUCUAAAAAGAUAAAAUAAUUAAUAUGAAUAUGAAAAACAGUCU
ensembl:ncRNA K12D12.9 ncRNA